rnacentral:rRNA from 1 species
CAAUAGCAUGUAUUAACGUUGUUGCAGUUGAAAAGCUCGUAGUUGAACUUUUGGUAGGAGCGACCUGGCCUUGGGCGCAUGCCCUUGUUUGCCGUGUGUCGUAUCUGGCCAUCCUUUUCCGCUUCGGCGGGAAUCCUUUACUGUGAGUAAACUGGAGUGCUCAAAACAAGACGUUUGUUUGGUACAUUAAAGCAUGGAAUAAUAAGAUAGGACCUGGUUACUAUUUUGUUGGUUUGCAUAGCUAGGUAAUGAUUAACAGGGACAGUUGGGGGUAUUCGUAUUUAAUUGUCAGAGGUGAAAUUCUUGGAUUUAUGAAAGACGAACGACUGCGAAAGCAUUUACCAAGGAUGUUUUCAUUAA